rnacentral:rRNA from 1 species
CAGUAGCCACGGUAAUACGAAGGAUGCAAGCGUUACUCGGAAUUACUGGGCGUAAAGCGUGCGUAGGUGGUGGUUUAAGUCCGUUGUGAAAGCCCUGGGCUCAACCUAGGAAUUGCAGUGGAUACUGGGUCACUAGAGUGUGGUAGAGGAUAGUGGAAUUUCCGGUGUAGCAGUGAAAUGCGUAGAGAUCGGAAGGAACAUCUGUGGCGAAGGCGACUAUCUGGGCCAACACUGACACUGAGGCACGAAAGCGUGGGGAGCAAACAGGAUUAGAUACCCCAGUAGUCCCUGUCUCUUAUAC